rnacentral:lncRNA from 1 species
CAACAUCAAUGUGUCAAACUACUUAGCUAUUUUAAACUCUUUAAGGGAAAUUAAUUCCCCCGUGGUGAAUAGAGGGGUGGCAUUUCCCAACAUUUCUCCAGAUCCCUUCUUCAGUAUUCGUACUUCAGUAUUCCUUUACCAGAACACAACCGGCAUUCAUGCUGCGGGUACAUGUUGCCGGUGUGGUGAUACUGAUGGUUUGUUGACAGCAGUAGCAUUUUAGCUAAGCCUAACCUACUACGGACAGAAGUGACUUUUCGCUGCAGUUUAUGAGAACAACGCAGCAGGUUAGGGGAAUUAGCGUAGCAGAUUAGGAAAAAUAUAAGGGUUAGGUUUAGCAAAAAUUAUUAUCCCGGACGUGACAACUAGAUAGAGCUGUACUGGUAGCCACAACCGUACAAACCUGAGUCUCGACAAACCAUCAGUAUCAUAACACUGGUAACUCUGAAGAGACAUGGAGGUGAAGACAUUAUGGUCUUCAUUAUUAAACUCACCUUCUGCACCUGCUUCCUGGGCUCCCGGCGCAUACGUGUCAGAAUACUGCCUCACAAAUUUUGGAAGCAGCAGAAGAUAAAGACAUCUCCCAGACGGUCGGUGAACAGGGACAGCUACUCCGUCAACAGUUGGCUCAACUGGGUGCGGCUAUGGAUGAGGUCCUCUGCGUCCUCCACUGCCUCGACACCACCCGAGAGGAUUCACCUACAACUAGCGGAGGGCCUUGUACCUCGAGUCGUCCCGGUGAGCCAGCCCCCCAGCCUACCCAGCAGUCUGCUCAGGGAGGUGAUGCCCGACUGUCCCUCCUGGACACGUAGGAUGGGACUCCAUCCAAAUGCCUUGGCUUCCUACUCCAGUGCUCCCUCUAUUUCGCCCAUCAGACAGGAGCCCCACCACCGAGAGGUCCAAGGUUGCCACGGUCACUUCCCUACUGACCGGGCGGGCGUUGGAGUGGGCUACAGCUGUCUAGGGGAGAGGAAGAGUUCCCACGAGAGGUUCAUGGCUCUGUUUCCGGCGGUCUUCAACCAUCCAGCAGAGGGAGGUGAGUGACUAUUCCAACUCCGGCAGGGUGCACAGACAGCUGAGGAGUACCUCACCUUCCGGACCAUGGCAGCCUCCAUCGGAUGGAACGAACCGGCGCUCUGAA